AUUGAACGCUGGCGGCAUGCUUUACACAUGCAAGUCGAACGGUAACAGGUUAAGCUGACGAGUGGCGAACGGGUGAGUAAUGCAUCGGAACGUGCCCGGUCGUGGGGGAUAACGCAGCGAAAGCUGCGCUAAUACCGCAUACGAUCUGAGGAUGAAAGCGGGGGACCGUAAGGCCUCGCGCGAUCGGAGCGGCCGAUGUCAGAUUAGGCAGUUGGUGGGGUAAAGGCUCACCAAGCCAACGAUCUGUAGCUGGUCUGAGAGGACGACCAGCCACACGUGGACUGAGACACGGACCAGACUCCGACGGGAGGCAGCAGUGGGGAAUUUUGGACAAUGGGCGAAAGCCUGAUUCAGCAAUGCCGCGGGCAGGAAGAAGGCCUUCGGGUUGUAAACUGCUUUUGUACGGAGCGAAAAGGUCUCCUCUAAUACAGGGGGCUCAUGACGGUACCGUAAGAAUAAGCACCGGCUAACUACGUGCCAGCCGCCGCCGUAA
rnacentral:rRNA from 1 species